UACGUAGGUGGCAAGCGUUGUCCGGAAUCACUGGGCGUAAAGGGCGCGUAGGCGGUUAAUUAAGUCAGAUGUGAAAUAUCCGGGCUUAACCUGGAGGGUGCAUCUGAUACUGGAUAACUUGAGUGCAGGAGAGGGCAGUGGAAUUCCUAGUGUAGCGGUGAAAUGCGUAGAUAUUAGGAGGAACACCAGUGGCGAAGGCGGCUGCCUGGACUGUAACUGACGCUGAGGCGCGAAAGCGUGGGGAGCAAAC
rnacentral:rRNA from 1 species